GCCCGGAGGAGUCCGGAGAAGCUCCGAGGAACCUGGGGGAGCCCCGAGGAUCCCGGUCCAAGCGCACGGGCUGCACCGUGUCCCGGCCCGGUGCCUCCGUGGCCGUCCUUCCCCGCCGCAGCCGGGGGGAGCGGUGGCUUUGGCGGCACGGAAAUCACAAACGGCGCGGUCGGGAUUUGGGUCCCAGCAGAUCUGUGUGUGUCAAGUGUCGGCUCUGCAGGGGCCUCGGCUCUGCUGGAGCGGCUGAGCGACAAAACCAGCGCGAAUCCGAACCCUUGGCUCUGAGGCCGCCUGCACUGUGGAGUUCUGCUGCGGAACAACAGAAAUGAAGCACUUGUCAGGCAGCAGCAGUGCGUCAGGGCAGAAUGGAACUCGCAAGAAUAAAGUUUACACCAGGCAACAACAAAAUCUACUGUGCCAUUCUGUGAGGCAACAAAGCUGAGAGAGUCUGCAAGCAAUCUCUUCCUGAGAGCUGCAAGGGAGAGAGUGGGCUCGAGCUUCACUGAUGAAUUAAUGCAGGAGAAAUAAGGAAUCAAGACUGUGCCACAUGGCCUGCAGAGGACUGAGGUGAAAUUGUGUUUGUAACCUUUGUCCUGCAAAUCUGUGGGGCUGGUUCUGUUUCUUCACUGUACCUGUAACUGUACCUUGCUCAUGACACUUUGCAAUAGUCAUAGUUAAACAAACAGUGCAGUUCCACAUGUGCCGUGUUAAUCUGCAGUAAAUGCUUGCUUUUUACCUCAAAACCUGCUUGGCCAGACCACAUCAGGGGAAGCUGCUCCUGCAGGAAAGUCAAAGACCCCCAUUGCCUGGCGUGCUGUACCUGAAGCAUCAUUGCCAGUGGCAGGAUGUUGGAAUCCUUCUGCCUGUGCCAGUGACUCAGCAAGGGCCUGAUGUGUGUUUAGUCCUGCUCAAACAGGAGCCCAGCUUCCUAGCACAGUUACAGCAGCAGUACAAAUAAGGGUGAGCCACUGAGUUAACACUACCUUGCUGAAGUGACUUCACCUCUCAGUGACUUGGGGGGGACAGGAUGAUCAUCACUGUGAACUUGCUCUCUGGUGCUCCUGGGUUUAACCAAACACACUGAAACGGCUGAAGGAAAGUGGUGAGACAAGCACUGCUCUAGUGCUUCAUGGUGUAAUGUUGGACUUGACACUCAGGUCAAGGUAUUCAAAGUAGGAUGAGACUGAGAAAAAUGUUGCUUUUGGUGCCUGGAGGGGGACCUGUAGUGUGCCAGGUGCCUGCCAUUCAGCAGUAGCCUCCUCACAUUAAGAGGCAGAUGGGUUUGUCUGGCCCCUUUCUCUAAUGCAUUUUUUUUCACAGCCUCUUGAACAAUAGGGAUCUAGUCCGGACUGAAAUAUUUUAGAAGCCACUGUGACAGAAAUACUUCAUGAUGAUACUGGUUAUUUUAAUUUAAGACAUGCUGAUUUAAUUACCAACCAAAGUAAUUAAAUUAAGUCUAACCAAAUUAAUAUUGCAUCAUAAGAAGCACUAAGAUUCCAUACUGUGAGGAUAAGAGGCAAACCAACCAACCCUUUCAUGCAGAAGAUGCUAUCUGGCAUUUGCAUAGAUAUUGUGUAUGUAAUUAAAGCCAUCCUUAACAUGUAA